rnacentral:rRNA from 1 species
AAGACCUUGCGCUUUUGGAGCGGCCGAUGCCUGAUUAGCUUGUUGGUAAGGUAAAAGCUUACCAAGGCUUCGAUCAGUAGCUGGUCUGAGAGGACGGCCAGCCACACUGGGACUGAGACACGGCCCAGACUCCUACGGGAGGCAGCAGUGGGGAAUUUUGGACAAUGGGGGCAACCCUGAUCCAGCCAUGCCGCGUGAGUGAAGAAGGCCUUCGGGUUGUAAAGCUCUUUCAGCCGGAACGAAACGGUUACGGUUAAUACCCGUGAUUACUGACGGUACCGGAAGAAGAAGCACCGGCUAACUACGUGCCAGCAGCCGCGGUAAUACGUAGGGUGCGAGCGUUAAUCGGAAUUACUGGGCGUAACGCGUGCGCAGGUGGUUUUGUAAGUCAGAUGUGAAAGCCCCGGGCUCAACCUGGGAACU